UAGUGGCGAACGGGUGAGUAACACGUAGGUGACCUGCCCCGAAGAGGGGGAUAACCGCUGGAAACGGCGGCUAAUACCCCAUGUAGUCGUGGGGGUUAGAGGCCUCACGAUUAAAGCUCCGGCGCUUCGGGAGGGGCCUGCGGCCUAUCAGCUAGUUGGUGGGGUAAUGGCCCACCAAGGCAAUGACGGGUAGCUGGUCUGAGAGGACGAUCAGCCACAUGGGCACUGAGACACGGGCCCGACUCCUACGGGAGGCAGCAGUGAGGGAUAUUGCGCAAUGGGCGAAAGCCUGACGCAGCAACGCCGCGUGGGCGAUGAAGGCCUUCGGGUUGUAAAGCCCUUUUCUGGGGGAAGAGGAAGGACGGUACCCCAGGAAUAAGUCCCGGCUAACUACGUGCCAGCAGCCGCGGUAAAACGUAGGGGACGAGUGUUAUCCGGAUUCACUGGGCGUAAAGCGCGUGCAGGUGGUGCUUUAAGUUGGGCGUGAAAUCUCCCGGCUUAACCGGGAGGAGUCGUUCAAUACUGGAGCACUUGAGGGCAGGAGAGGGAGGUGGAAUUCCCGGUGUAGUGGUGAAAUGCGUAGAUAUCGGGAGGAACACCAGUGGCGAAGGCGGCCUCCUGGCCUGCUUCUGACACUAAGACGCGAAAGCUAGGGUAGCAAACGGGAUUAGAUACCCCGGUAGUCCUAGCUGUAAACGAUGGAUACUAGGUGU
rnacentral:rRNA from 1 species